rnacentral:rRNA from 1 species
GACGAACGCUGGCGGCGUGCCUAAUACAUGCAAGUCGAGCGAAUGGAAGGGAGCUUGCUCCCAGAAGUUAGCGGCGGACGGGUGAGUAACACGUGGGCAACCUGCCUGUAAGACUGGGAUAACUUCGGGAAACCGGAGCUAAUACCGGAUACGUUCUUUCCUCGCAUGAGGGAAGAUGGAAAGAUGGUUUCGGCUAUCACUUACAGAUGGGCCCGCGGCGCAUUAGCUAGUUGGUGGGGUAAUGGCCCACCAAGGCGACGAUGCGUAGCCGACCUGAGAGGGUGAUCGGCCACACUGGGACUGAGACACGGCCCAGACUCCUACGGGAGGCAGCAGUAGGGAAUCUUCCGCAAUGGACGAAAGUCUGACGGAGCAACGCCGCGUGAGCGAAGAAGGCCUUCGGGUCGUAAAGCUCUGUUGUCAGGGAAGAACAAGUGCCAGAGUAACUGCUGGCACCUUGACGGUACCUGACCAGAAAGCCACGGCUAACUACGUGCCAGCCGCCGCCGUAAUAC